rnacentral:rRNA from 1 species
AGAGUUUGAUCAUGGCUCAGGACGAACGCUGGCGGCGUGCCUAAUACAUGCAAGUCGAGCGAGCGGAACUAACAGAUUUACUUCGGUAAUGACGUUAGGAAAGCGAGCGGCGGAUGGGUGAGUAACACGUGGGGAACCUGCCCCAUAGUCUGGGAUACCACUUGGAAACAGGUGCUAAUACCGGAUAAGAAAGCAGAUCGCAUGAUCAGUUUUUAAAAGGCGGCGUAAGCUGUCGCUAUGGGAUGGCCCCGCGGUGCAUUAGCUAGUUGGUAAGGUAAAGGCUUACCAAGGCGAUGAUGCAUAGCCGAGUUGAGAGACUGAUCGGCCACAUUGGGACUGAGACACGGCCCAAACUCCUACGGGAGGCAGCAGUAGGGAAUCUUCCACAAUGGACGCAAGUCUGAUGGAGCAACGCCGCGUGAGUGAAGAAGGUUUUCGGAUCGUAAAGCUCUGUUGUUGGUGAAGAAGGAUAGAGGUAGUAACUGGCCUUUAUUUGACGGUAAUCAACCAGAAAGUCACGGCUAACUACGUGCCAGCAGCCGCGGUAAUACGUAGGUGGCAAGCGUUGUCCGGAUUUAUUGGGCGUAAAGCGAGCGCAGGCGGAAGAAUAAGUCUGAUGUGAAAGCCUUCGGCUUAACCGAGGAACUGCAUCGGAAACUGUUUUUCUUGAGUGCAGAAGAGGAGAGUGGAACUCCAUGUGUAGCGGUGGAAUGCGUAGAUAUAUGGAAGAACACCAGUGGCGAAGGCGGCUCUCUGGUCUGCAACUGACGCUGAGGCUCGAAAGCAUGGGUAGCGAACAGGAUUAGAUACCCUGGUAGUCCAUGCCGUAAACGAUGAGUGCUAAGUGUUGGGAGGUUUCCGCCUCUCAGUGCUGCAGCUAACGCAUUAAGCACUCCGCCUGGGGAGUACGACCGCAAGGUUGAAACUCAAAGGAAUUGACGGGGGCCCGCACAAGCGGUGGAGCAUGUGGUUUAAUUCGAAGCAACGCGAAGAACCUUACCAGGUCUUGACAUCUAGUGCCAUUUGUAGAGAUACAAAGUUCCCUUCGGGGACGCUAAGACAGGUGGUGCAUGGCUGUCGUCAGCUCGUGUCGUGAGAUGUUGGGUUAAGUCCCGCAACGAGCGCAACCCUUGUUAUUAGUUGCCAGCAUUAAGUUGGGCACUCUAAUGAGACUGCCGGUGACAAACCGGAGGAAGGUGGGGAUGACGUCAAGUCAUCAUGCCCCUUAUGACCUGGGCUACACACGUGCUACAAUGGGCAGUACAACGAGAAGCGAGCCUGCGAAGGCAAGCGAAUCUCUGAAAGCUGUUCUCAGUUCGGACUGCAGUCUGCAACUCGACUGCACGAAGCUGGAAUCGCUAGUAAUCGCGGAUCAGCACGCCGCGGUGAAUACGUUCCCGGGCCUUGUACACACCGCCCGUCACACCAUGGGAGUCUGCAAUGCCCAAAGCCGGUGGCCUAACCUUCGGGAAGGAGCCGUCUAAGGCAGGGCAGAUGACUGGGGUGAAGUCGUAACAAGGUAGCCGUAGGAGAACCUGCGGCUGGAUCACCUCCUU